rnacentral:rRNA from 1 species
ACAUGCCUACAACAUAGAUUUAAUGCAUUGUAUCCCAUUACAACUCUGCAGUUAAUUGUGCUCAGGCUAGAGUAGUACUCGGGUGGGUGAUUGCCCAAGAAGUCCUAGUGUUUUACAUGCC